UACGGAGGGGGCUAGCGUUGUUCGGAAUUACUGGGCGUAAAGCGCACGUAGGCGGCUUUGUAAGUUAGAGGUGAAAGCCCGGAGCUCAACUCCGGAACUGCCUUUAAGACUGCAUCGCUUGAACGUCGGAGAGGUAAGUGGAAUUCCGAGUGUAGUGGUGAAAUACGUAGAGAUUGGGAAGAACACCAGUGGCGAAGGCGGCUAUCUGGACGGUUUCUGACGCUAAGACGCGAAAGCGUAGGGAGCAAACAGG
rnacentral:rRNA from 1 species